rnacentral:rRNA from 1 species
AGGUAUUCCGGUAGACGAUGGGGAUGCGUUCCAUUAGAUAGUAGGCGGGGUAACGGCCCACCUAGUCUUCGAUGGAUAGGGGUUCUGAGAGGAAGGUCCCCCACAUUGGAACUGAGACACGGUCCAAACUCCUACGGGAGGCAGCAGUGAGGAAUAUUGGUCAAUGGGCGAGAGCCUGAACCAGCCAAGUAGCGUGAAGGAUGACUGCCCUAUGGGUUGUAAACUUCUUUUAUAAAGGAAUAAAGUCGGGUAUGCAUACCCGUUUGCAUGUACUUUAUGAAUAAGGAUCGGCUAACUCCGUGCCAGCAGCCGCGGUAAUACGGAGGAUCCGAGCGUUAUCCGGAUUUAUUGGGUUUAAAGGGAGCGUAGAUGGAUGUUUAAGUCAGUUGUGAAAGUUUGCGGCUCAACCGUAAAAUUGCAGUUGAUACUGGAUAUCUUGAGUGCAGUUGAGGCAGGCGGAAUUCGUGGUGUAGCGGUGAAAUGCUUAGAUAUCACGAAGAACUCCGAUUGCGAAGGCAGCCUGCUAAGCUGCAACUGACAUUGAGGCUCGAAAGUGUGGGUAUCAAACAGGAUUAGAUACCCUGGUAGUCCACACGGUAAACGAUGAAUACUCGCUGUUUGCGAUAUACAGCAAGCGGCCAAGCGAAAGCGUUAAGUAUUCCACCUGGGGAGUAC